GUUUGAAAGCAUUAAAUAUAAAAAAAAUUGAUUCGCAUAAAAGUAAAUUAAAGAGAUUAAAGAUUUGAUUGCAUAAAAAAUAAAUGUUUACAAGCAAGUAAAUGAGUGCUUGAGAAUUGAAAUGGAAAGCUUGAUAGCUAGUGCACUAAAAUAAAUGCUAACGAUAGAUAAAAGACUUUAAGUUUGGUCUGUUUGUUUGGCUAGGAUUUGUUCUUCAAAGGCCAUCAUGUAUUUAUAGAUAUAAAUGGCUUGGCUUAGAUUUUGCACAUGUAAAAUAUGUGUAUAACUUCUACAUUCUACAUUCUACUUUUCUACUUCUUUAAUUUUUUCAAUUUACUAUCUGAUUCUUUCUCUCGGUCCCCUAAACUUAUAUCCUAUUUUAUAAAGAUUUACUUUAAUAUCCAAAACUUUUGUAACUGCUCUUUCACAUCUUUACAUCUUUAUUUAUAAAUCAACCCCUCGCCUAUGGAUCAAGAAAUUAACAUAGUCAAGAACCGGGUCAUGGAUCAAAAUAUAAUUAACUUAAAAAAUUUGAAUAAAAAUUAAAAGGAUUUUUCCAUUGAGCCUGACCAAAUUACUGAG
rnacentral:lncRNA from 1 species